GGGUUAGUAGGUUGGUCAUGCCUCUGGUAUGCACUGGUCCCACUGAUUCCUCCUUCCUGAUGAGCCGUAAUGCCAUUAAUUCGGUGUUGCAGGGAAUCUGGACUGUUACUUUGAAAAAAUUAGAGUGUUUAAAGUAGGCUAACGCCUGAAUACAUUAGCAUGGAAUAAUGAAAUAGGACGUUCGAUCCUAUUUUGUUGGUUCCUAGGAUUGACGUA
rnacentral:rRNA from 1 species